rnacentral:misc_RNA from 1 species
UAGCAGAGAUGUCUAUAGGUUGGGUCAUAGGCUGGAUUUCUUCAGAAUGCUUUCUUUCUUUUAUACAACUGUAGGAUUCUUCUUCAAUACAAUGAUGAUUGUCCUCACUGUAUAUGCAUUCUUAUGGGGACGACUUUACCUGGCACUUAGUGGGGUUGAGGGCUCUGUUGCUGCAGAUACCACUGACAACAACAGAGCACUUGGUGCCAUACUGAACCAGCAAUUUAUCAUCCAG